rnacentral:rRNA from 1 species
GAUGAACGCUGGCGGCGUGCCUAAUACAUGCAAGUAGAACGCUGAAGCUUGGUGCUUGCACCGAGCGGAUGAGUUGCGAACGGGUGAGUAACGCGUAGGUAACCUGCCUCUUAGCGGGGGAUAACUAUUGGAAACGAUAGCUAAUACCGCAUAAAAGUCGAUAUCGCAUGAUGUUGAUUUGAAAGGUGCAAAUGCAUCACUAAGAGAUGGACCUGCGUUGUAUUAGCUAGUUGGUGAGGUAACGGCUCACCAAGGCGACGAUACAUAGCCGACCUGAGAGGGUGAUCGGCCACACUGGGACUGAGACACGGCCCAGACUCCUACGGGAGGCAGCAGUAGGGAAUCUUCGGCAAUGGGGGCAACCCUGACCGAGCAACGCCGCGUGAGUGAAGAAGGUUUUCGGAUCGUAAAGCUCUGUUGUAAGAGAAGAACGAGUGUGAGAGUGGAAAGUUCACACUGUGACGGUAACUUACCAGAAAGGGACGGCUAACUACGUGCCAGCAGCCGCGGUAAUACGUAGGUCCCGAGCGUUAUCCGGAUUUAUUGGGCGUAAAGCGAGCGCAGGCGGUUAGAUAAGUCUGAAGUUAAAGGCUGUGGCUUAACCAUAGUACGCUUUGGAAACUGUUUAACUUGAGUGCAGAAGGGGAGAGUGGAAUUCCAUGUGUAGCGGUGAAAUGCGUAGAUAUAUGGAGGAACACCGGUGGCGAAAGCGGCUCUCUGGUCUGUAACUGACGCUGAGGCUCGAAAGCGUGGGGAGCAAACAGG